UCUAGCCUGAGUAAUCUUGCCUGUGUUAUUUGUGCUCUUUGCUCAUCUUGUGUUUGCUUCCUGACAGUACCUGUGAGGUGUGGGUGGAUUCUGUACACUUGGAACCUGGACAAAACUAUUUUGCAACCUGACCCUAAGAGCUUUUGGGUCUCACUUCCAUUGACUGUGGUUGAGCUCCUGGAUUUCCCAGCAUCUGUUUUGCUGAAGACUGUUACCAACUGUGAACUGCUUCUAGUUGGAUUACUUCCUUGGACUAACAACUCCCUUUCUCAACGGUAAACCCCUCCGGAGUAUUUGCAACACACGACUCAAGUAAGCAAAUUGUUUGGAUCUUCUGGGACAUUAUUCUAAAGGAAAACUCUGAAUUUAUCUGAGCCUUUCUCUCCAGAGAACCUGUGACACCUGUUCCUCUUCCACUGGAUCUUCAAUGAACAAUUAUUCAACCCGUAAAAUAAACCCUUUAACCUUUUCUGUUUUCCUGAGUGUGUUUGCAUGUGGGUCAAGCAAAUUACUAAAAAUAUGACAGAACACUCAGCCCAACAAGACCCAGCAGAUCCACUCAGUAAACUGUUUGCCGACCAGAAUCUUUUAGUCCAGUCGCAUGAUGCCAUGCUCAGAUUGUUACAGGAACAACUAACUUUUUCUAAUCAAUGUCUGGAACAUAUGGCUGGACAAAUGCAAAGAUUUCUGCACAAUGAACAGCCUAAUGCCUGUACGUCCUCCACUCCGCCUAGCGGCGCUGCUGCACCAUCCAUUCCUCACUUGUCUACCUUUCAUGACGUCACUUCCCCCAUCCCGGAGAAGUUCUCCGAAGAGGUCCGCUGUUCCCGCAACCUCCACCCCAACAUUGCCUGAGGAGACUGAUUCCACUGACCUUUCGGAGGUUCCACUUGAGUAUCAUGAUCUACGCCAAGUGUUUAGUAAACCGCUAGCCCUUUCUCUGCCACCACACCGUCCUUGCGACUGUGCUAUCGACCUGAUUCCAGGUGCAUUUCGAAUACUUGGUGAUGCCAUUCGGGUUAUGCAAUGCACCAGCGGUAUUUCAGGCCCUGGUUAAUGAUGUCCUCCGGGAUUUUUUUUGAACAUUUUUGCCUUUGUUUACUUGGACAAUAUCCUUAUCUUUUCUAAAGAUUAAAAAAAAAAUAAAUAAAUAAAAAAAGCCCAUCUAGGGACAAGUGCUGUGAAUUAGCUGUUGCUAUUGCACUAUGAUGCAAACAUGGGACUGCUGUUCAGUUGAUCUAUGUCAAUGUGUGUCUUGUACUUCAACAUCUACUCAAACACAAACUGUUAAAGCUGAAAAAUGCAAGUUCCACAAACCAUCUGUGUCCUUCCUGGCUUCAUUUUGAAGUGUGGUCAGCCCUGCUCUAACCCAGCUAAGACUAAGGCCGUGUUAGAUUGGCCCAUGCCAGAUUCCAGGAAGCAACUUCAGCGUUUUCUUGGCUUUGCAAACUUAUCGCCGUUUCAUAAAAGAUUUUAGUCAUACUGCUGCCCCACUCACUAGUCUCACUUCUACCAAGGUUGCUUUUUCCUGGACUCCUGAAGCUAACUCUGCCUUCGUGGCUCUGCAAGAGAGACUCGCUGUGGCACCCAUCCUUCUCCAGCCUGAUCUAUCUAAACGGUUCAUCCUGGAAGUGGAGGCCUCUGAUUCU